GCAGAACUUUAGACUGUCACUGAACUACAUCAGACAGGCAGAGGGAGAAAGAUGGAAUCACAGACCUAUGUCUUCAUGUUCCUGCUACUCUGGUUAUCUGGUACCUCUGGGGACAUUGUGAUGACUCAGUCUCCAUCCUCACUGGCUGUAUCAGCAGGAGAGAUGGUCACUAUGAGCUGCAAGUCCAGUCAGAGUCUUUUGUGGAGUGGAAGACACUACUUGGCCUGGUACCAGCAGAACCCAGGGCAGCCUCCUAAACUGCUGAUAUACUAUGCAUCCACUAGAGCAUCUGGGGUCCCUGAUCGCUUCACAGGCAGUGCAUCUGGGACAGAUUUCACUCUUACCAUCAGCCAUGUGCAAGCUAAUGACCUGGCAAUUUAUUACUGUCAGCACCAUUAUGAUAGCCUUCCCCCCCCACAGUGCUUCAGUCUCCUACACAAACCUCCUUGAGAAUUUCAACA